rnacentral:rRNA from 1 species
CAGCAGCCGCGGGAAUACGUAGGGUGCAAGCGUUAAUCGGAAUUACUGGGCGUAAAGCGUGCGCAGGCGGUGUUGUAAGACUGAUGUGAAAUCCCCGGGCUCAACCUGGGAACUGCAUUGGUGACUGCAACGCUGGAGUGCGGCAGAGGAGGAUGGAAUUCCGCGUGUAGCAGUGAAAUGCGUAGAUAUGCGGAGGAACACCGAUGGCGAAGGCAAUCCCCUGGGCCUUCACUGACGCUCAUGCACGAAAGCGUGGGGAGCAAACAGGAUUAGAUACCCCGGUAGUCCCUGUCUCUUAUAC